rnacentral:rRNA from 1 species
GACGAACGCUGGCGGCGUGCUUAACACAUGCAAGUCGAGCGGUAAGGCCCUUUCGGGGGUACACGAGCGGCGAACGGGUGAGUAACACGUGGGUGACCUGCCCUCAGCUCUGGGGAUAAGCCCGGGAAACUGGGUCUAAUACCGGAUAUGACUCCACGGUGCAUGUCGUGGGGUGGAAAGCCUUGUGCGGCUGAGGAUGGGCCCGCGGCCUAUCAGCUUGUUGGUGGGGCGAUGGCCACCAAGGCGACGACGGGUAGCCGGCCUGAGAGGGCGACCGGCCACACUGGGACGUGAGACACGGCCCAGACUCCUACGGGAGGCGAGCAGUGGGGAAUCUUGCGCAAUGGGCGAAAGCCUGACGCAGCGACGCCGCGUGAGGGAUGACGG